rnacentral:misc_RNA from 1 species
AAGUCGUAACAAGGUAACCGUAGGUGAACCUGCGGUUGGAUCAUUAACAAAUUUGUCUUGAUUGGGUCUGGGUGGAACGUCUUUCGCGGACGGAACAUCCGGUCUCACAUCAACCAACCCCAUCUUUAUUUUUUCAAUUAUUUAUUUUUCACAUUGUUUUUUGAGCACGCAAGGGAGCUGUCCAUGACAUUUUCGGAUGUCGGGGCGGGGCCCGCACCGUGAUCAUCUGAGAAAAAACAAAAAACAACUUUUGGCAACGGAUCUCUUGGCUCUC